AUGCAGAAUGUGAUCAACACGGUGAAGGGAAAGGCUCUGGAUCUGGACAUGGCCGAGUACCUGACCCGGGUCUUCAAGGAAUCAACAUUUAAGGAAACGGGUGUUAUCACCCCAGAAGAGUUUGUGGCAGCUGGAGAUCACUUAGUCCACCACUGUCCAACAUGGCAAUGGGCUACAGGGGAAGAAUUGAAAGUGAAGGCACAUUUACCAACAGAGAAACAGUUUUUGGUAACCAAAAAUGAUAGAUACUACAAACGGUGUAAACAGAUGGAGUAUUCGGAUGAAUUGGAAGCUAUCGUUGAAGAUGAUGGUGAUGGGGGAUGGGUAGAUACAUAUCACAACACAGGUAUUACAGGAAUUUCUGAAGCAGUUAAGGAGAUUACACUGGAAAGCAAGGACAGUAAAAAACUCCAAGAUUGCUCAGCACUAUGUGAUGAAGAAGACGAGGACGAUGAAGGGGAGGCUGCAGACAUGGAAGAUUAUGAAGAGAGUGUUGGAAACAGAUGAGACUACCCUAGACACAAGGAAAAUAGUGAAAGCCUGUAAAGCUAAGGCUGACGCUAGAGGUAAAGAUGCUAUUCUGCAAACAAGAACUUAUGACCUGUACAUCACUUACUUAUGACAAACAUUACCAGACACCACGGCUAUGGUUGCUCGGCUAUGAUGAACCGUGGCAGCCUUUAACAGUUGAGCACAUGUAUGAAGACAUCAGUCGAGAUCAUGUGAAGAAAACAGUGAUCAUUGAGAACCAUCCUCAUCUCCCACCACCUCCUAUGUGUUCGGUUCGCCCAUGCAGGCAUGCUGAAAUGAUGAAGAAAAUUAUUGAGACAGUUGCAGAAGGCGGGGGAGAGCUUGGCGUUCAUUUGUUCAAGCUGUCACUCCAACAACAGAAUAUGACGACACAGGACACUUCACAAUGUAGUGGGGAGGAUGGAGAGUCUAUCCUAACCACUGCUUCUGAUUUUAAAGAAAUAAUACGUAGAUGUGACCAUUGA